UCUUCCUCUCUCGCCGAUGUAACUUCCCGGCGUUACCACCGCCUCGUCCGGCCACCUAUGGCCAUGAAAUUGGUGUCCAUCUCUUCGUCUUGAAACAAGGUUUCUAUCCAUAUAUGCCUUGCACCUUAUCAUUCACCAUAGACGACGAAUCGAAGCGAAGAAGAUUAUUGUAGCAGUUCGGCAUUUCCGGCGUUUUCUUCCGAUUCCGGCCGUCUCCGGCCACCAAACCGGUGUCGAAGGUUCGGUUUUUGCCAAGGAUCAUUUGCCCCUAGCCUUGAGCCACGAUUUGCAGCGUGGAGGAAGAAUCGAAGAGAUGAAUUUCUGGGUUACUAUUCACCGGUCGGGUUCAACAUUCUCCUUAAUUGUUGAGGGCGAUGUGCCGAGCUACUGCUCGACGUAGGAAACCGGUAGCGUGGUCGCCUAAAUAGUACUUUUGCAGGCCAGUUUAGCUUGAGGUCGAGCGUACAUGGGGUUGAGGCAUAGCUGUCAUAGCUUCCGCAUUACAAAAGUAUCGGUCCUUUAUCUUAUAUUUUAUCAUCUUGUACGUCUGUACAUUAGAUUGCUUUGAUA